AAGGCCCAACAGCCCACUUCCUCCCUCCCUCACGCUCUCCUCCUGGCUGACCGACCUCUCCCUCUUGUUCUUCCUCUGGUGCUCCUCCAGCCACGGCUUCAUGCCCUUGCAUCCACCCUCUGCAGCACAUGCCCUUGCAUCCACCCUCUGCUGCACCAAAUCCAUAGGGGAAAACCAGCAAAAUGGAAUGAGGGCGGCAUGAGGAAGAAGGAGACGUGCGCAUUCGAUGUAGAUCGGUUCCCCCUCCCUAGGGUUUCAAGGAUGACAAAGGUUAUCCUUUGAAGCUAGCAUGAAGGAAAGUGGUUUAGUUGCACGCCAUACACUUCUACAGGAUUUGAUAAUGAUUUGGUGCAUAAUUCUAAAUUUGUUAGAUCUUAUAAUAACUUAAAUCAUAUUUGUACAUGAUGUAAGGUUGUCUUGUUGGAGCAUCACGCUUUCUAUAUACAUCUAUCUAUUGUUGCUUCCGCGUCGUGUUUGUUUAUAGGUUUUUGCUGCUGAAAUUUUAA